UUACCAAAUUGCACACUUAAC
rnacentral:miRNA from 1 species